rnacentral:rRNA from 1 species
GAUGAACGCUGGCGGCGUGCUUAACACAUGCAAGUCGAACGAAACACCUUAUUUGAUUUUCUUCGGAACUGAAGAUUUGGUGAUUGAGUGGCGGACGGGUGAGUAACGCGUGGGUAACCUACCCUGUACAGGGGGAUAACAGUCAGAAAUGACUGCUAAUACCGCAUAAGACCACAGCACCGCAUGGUGCAGGGGUAAAAACUCCGGUGGUACAGGAUGGACCCGCGUCUGAUUAGCUGGUUGGUGAGGUAACGGCUCACCAAGGCGACGAUCAGUAGCCGGCUUGAGAGAGUGAACGGCCACAUUGGGACUGAGACACGGCCCAAACUCCUACGGGAGGCAGCAGUGGGGAAUAUUGCACAAUGGGGGAAACCCUGAUGCAGCGACGCCGCGUGAGUGAAGAAGUAUCUCGGUAUGUAAAGCUCUAUCAGCAGGGAAGAAAAUGACGG